rnacentral:lncRNA from 1 species
AAAGAAGUAGACAUAGGAGACUCCAUUUUGUUCUGUACUAAGAAAAAUUCUUCUGCCUUGAGAUGCUGUUAAUUUAUAACCUUACCCCCAACCCCGUGCUCUCUGAGACAUGUGCUGUGUCAACUCAGGGUUAAAUGAAUUAAGGGCUGUGCAAGAUGUGCUUUGUUAAACAGAUGCUUGAAGGCAGCAUGCUCCUUAAGAGUCAUCACCACUCCCUAAUCUCAAGUGCCCAGGGACACAACCACUGUGGAAGGCCGCAGGGACCUCUGCCUAGGAAAGCCAGAGACCUUUGUUCACGUGUUUAUCUGCUGACCUUCUCUCCACUAUUAUCCCAUGACCCUGCCACAUCCCCCUCUCCGAGAAACACCCAAGAAUGAUCAAUAAAUACAAAGGGAACUCAGAGGCCGGCAGCAUCCUCCAUAUGCUGAAUGCAGGCCCAUAAGAUGUCCCGGCCUUUCCUUGAACCAGUAGACCCUAAUGAUGCACCAGAUUAUUAUGGUGUUAUUAAGGAACCUAUGGAUUGACCUUUGUAAAGAAGAAAAACAUGUUAGAAGAAAAAUGGAAAAGAACUCUGCAUGCCCUCAGCUCAGAUGCCAUCUCCUCUGGGAGCUCCUCUGGCCCCUGCCAAGGCUGGAUCAGAUGCCCUCAGGGCACACACGAUGCUGAUCCAGGGCCAUCUGUGGCCCAGACUCUGGGUCCCUCAUGCAGCCCUCACCACUGCUCAGGAGGCCACAGGAACAGAGGAAUCACUGGCCCAUUUUACAGACGGGAAAGCUGGACCCGGAGAAGUGAAGCAACUUUCCUGACUCACAGUGGAGGCAGCCUUCCAAGUUUUCUACCCCCGACUACACAGUGGAGCUGAAGAGCACCACUCUCUG